rnacentral:tRNA from 1 species
GCGCCCGUAGCUCAACUGGAUAGAGCAGUAGUUUCCGGAGCUACGCGUGGAGGUUCGAAUCCUCUCGGGCGCACCA